AUUGAACGCUGGCGGCAUGCCUUACACAUGCAAGUCGAACGGUAACGGGCCUUCGGGUGCCGACGAGUGGCGAACGGGUGAGUAAUACAUCGGAACGUGCCCGAUCGUGGGGGAUAACGAGGCGAAAGCUUUGCUAAUACCGCAUACGAUCUACGGAUGAAAGCAGGGGACCGCAAGGCCUUGCGCGGACGGAGCGGCCGAUGGCAGAUUAGGUAGUUGGUGGGAUAAAAGCUUACCAAGCCGACGAUCUGUAGCUGGUCUGAGAGGAUGAUCAGCCACACUGGGACUGAGACACGGCCCAGACUCCUACGGGAGGCAGCAGUGGGGAAUUUUGGACAAUGUGCGCAAGCCUGAUCCAGCCAUGCCGCGUGCAGGAUGAAGGCCUUCGGGUUGUAAACUGCUUUUGUACGGAACGAAAAGCCUUCUUUUAAUACAGGAGGGUCAUGACGGUACCGUAAGAAUAAGCACCGGCUAACUACGU
rnacentral:rRNA from 1 species